UCACAUACUUGUAAGUAUCGCAUGUUAGUUUCAAGAAUACUUCAGUGUGAAGGAAAAUUUCUACGAUGGCGCUUAAUCAAUUAUUGUCUUGAAUAAUAUAAACAAAUUUAGCCACAUCUGUCCAAGAAGAAUCCUUAUCGUAAAUACAUUUUACGUCAUUUAGGAUUUUGUACUUAUAACGAUGGCAUUAGUUCAAUACAAAAAUAUAGCGCAGUCGUGUGUUAAAUGAAAAUUUGAGUGUUUGAAAUUAAAUAAAGUAAUCAACUGAA